AUACGGAUGAUCCGAGCGUUAUCCGGAUUUAUUGGGUUUAAAGGGUGCGCAGGCGGGAGAUUAAGUCGGCGGUGAAAUUUUGCAGCUCAACUGUAAAAGUGCCUUCGAAACUGGUUUCCUUGAGUGUAGAUGAAGUAGGCGGAAUUUGUGGUGUAGCGGUGAAAUGCAUAGAUAUCACGAGGAACUCCGAUUGCGCAGGCAGCUUACUAAACUACUACUGACGCUCAGGCACGAAGGCGUGGGGAUCAAACAGGAUUAGAUACCCUGGUAGUCCACGCAGUAAACGAUGAUUACUAGCUGUUUGCGAUACAAUGUAAGCGGCUGAGCGAAAGCGUUAAGUAAUCCACCUGGGGAGUACGUUCGCAAGAAUGAAACUCAAAUGAAUUGACGGGG
rnacentral:rRNA from 1 species